rnacentral:tRNA from 2 species
AGUUAAUGAAUUUGUAUAAAUAUAUAUUUUGAAAAUAUAAUAAAGAGUUAAAUUCUCUAUUAACUU